GCUCCAAUAGCGUAUAUUAAAGUUGUUGCAGUUAAAAAGCUCGUAGUUGGAUUUCUGGGGCAGACGUUGGUCCGUGGCUUAUGUCAUGUGUACCUUUUUGUUCUGUCUCAUCCUCGUAGUGAGUGUUACUGGCAUUCAGUUGUCGGUAGCAGGAGCUGCGUCGUUUACUGUGAAAAAUUAGAGUGUUUAAAGCAGGCUUA
rnacentral:rRNA from 1 species